GCACCGGUGGUGCAUGGUACACCCGCCGAAUUCAUAAAGUUCAUCCAACAGUCCGUUACUGGACGGCGAGCCGGGGCUCGAUUCCCCGCCGGUGCA